rnacentral:rRNA from 1 species
GAUGAACGCUGGCGGCGUGCCUAAUACAUGCAAGUCGAGCGAACAGACGAGGAGCUUGCUCCUCUGACGUUAGCGGCGGACGGGUGAGUAACACGUGGAUAACCUGCCUAUAAGACUGGGAUAACUUCGGGAAACCGGAGCUAAUACCGGAUAAUAUAUUGAACCGCAUGGUUCAAUAGUGAAAGACGGUUUUGCUGUCACUUAUAGAUGGAUCCGCGCCGCAUUAGCUAGUUGGUAAGGUAACGGCUUACCAAGGCAACGAUGCGUAGCCGACCUGAGAGGGUGGUCGGCCACACUGGAACGGAGACAGGGUCCAGACUCCUACGGGAGGCAGCAGUAGGGAAUCUUCCGCAAAGGGCGGAAGCCUGACGGAGCAGCGCCACGUGAGUGAUGAAGGUCUUCGGAUCGUAAAACUCUGUUAUUAGGGAAGAACAAAUGUGUAAGUAACUAUGCACGUCUUGACGGUACCUAAUCAGAAAGCCACGGCUAACUACGUG